rnacentral:rRNA from 1 species
AGAGUUUGAUCCUGGCUCAGGAUGAACGCUGGCGGCGUGGAUAAGGCAUGCAAGUCGAACGGACCUUGCCUAUAUGAAGUGUGGAAUGAGUAGCAAUACAAGUGAAGCAUCGAUUAUAGGCGCUGGUUAGUGGCGAACGAGGUAGUAAUACAUGGGUAUUUCCCCCUAAGUCGUGAAUAACGCAUCGAAAGGUGUGCUAAUACACGAUGGUCCCUCCGGGGUAAAGAAUUUCGCUUAGGGAAAAGCCUGUGGGAUAUCAGCUAGUUGGUAGGGUAAUGGCCUACCAAGGCGAUGACGUCUAGGGGAGCUGAGAGGCUGACCCCCACCGAUGGGACUGAGACACGGCCCAUACAUCUACGGAUGGCUGCAGUCGAGAAUCUUCCACAAUGGACGAAAGUCUGAUGGAGCGACGCCGCGUGAUUGAUGAAGCCCCUCGGGGCGUAAAGAUCUUUUAUGAGGGAUGAAGUUUAUUGACAGUACCUCAUGAAUAAGGGGCUCCUAAUCUCGUGCCAGCAGGAGCGGUAAUACGAGAGCCUCAAGCGUUAUCCGGAAUUAUUGGGCGUAAAGGGUGUGUAAGGUGGUUGUGUUAGUCGAAUGUUAAAAAUCCAAGCUCAACUUGGAAGCAGCGUUCGAAACGGCACGACUAGAGUAGAGGAGAGGUGUACGGAACUCAUGGUGUAGGGGUGAAAUCCGUUGAUAUCAUGGGGAACACCGAAAGCGAAGGCAGUACACUGGCCUCUUACUGACACUGAAACACGAAAGCGUGGGUAGCGAAUGGGAUUAGAUACCCCAGUAGUCCACGCCCUAAACGAUCUUCUCUAGCUAUUCGGAGUAUCGACCCUCUGAGUGGCGUAGCUACGCGUUAAGAGAAGCGCCUGGGAAGUACGAUCGCAAGAUUAAAACUCAAGGAAUUGACGG